rnacentral:lncRNA from 1 species
CAAAACCGAGACAACCUUCAAAUGUUGGAGAGAUGGGCAACGCUAGAACCCUAAAAGAGAAGGACCCCGCCAUUCAUCUUCUGGUUGGAACCCCUGAAUACACCCUAACCUAGAGCUCCAUCAACUGAUCCCUUCAUCCCUUCAAUUCAGACACCCAAAAGUCGUUCCAUGUUCUUCACCUCACAAUCAAGAAAAUUCCUUCAACACCAAACAACCAACAACUAUCGAUCCCCAUAACUCUUAGCCGUCGGAACCUCUCCAAAAUACCAAAAACCCACCGCCUACCUCCACCAGCUGCUAGAACAGUAGCGUCGAACACACCAGCCAACGACCCCUGCUUCUAAACAACCCAAAAUGAGCUAAAAUUUCAGUUUUUGCUCUUGAUUUUGGUCUUAAAGAUGGAGUUUGUCCGAAGCUGAUUUAAUUCGCCGUCUGAGGUCUGAGUUCAUUGUUCCUAUUGGAGUACGUCUCAUCUUGAUGUUUUGGAUUGGCUCGCUGCUGGAAUUUGCAUUUCCCGAUUCGUUUGUACCUUUUCUAAUCAUUUCAAACAUCAAUUGAAAGCUCAUUUUCAGGUUCCUUCCUGAUUCCCUUUCUCCCUAAUGUUAGUAUUGGUUAAAACACCAUGAGAAUUGAAGCUUAAUUGGUUGUUUGAUGCUGGGUAAUAUUAGAGGAAAAUAUUGGUUCUUGAGAUCAACAAAUAGAAGUUGAACCGAUUUUGUGAUUGUUAACAGAAGUGUGGUCGUAAUGUGAUUGUUAGCAAUUUUCAUGAAUAUUUCUGUUUGGUUUGGCUGAGUUUACAUGUGAAUUGAGUUCUGCAAUUUUCCAUUUUGCAAUUUGAUACGAAUCUGUAGGUUCUUGACAGAUAGUUUGAAAGGGAUUGUGUUUGAAUGCUGCCUCAAAGUUUGUUUUACACUCGACCAAGCUUUCGCGAUUUGUUCCCAUUGUUUUCAGUUUUUAAGUAGGAAACUCGACAUUUAUAUCAUAGCUGCCUCUGUUUAACUUGCUGAAAUUCAGAUUCAGGCAUCUAUUUUGGUUUUGUUUGCUUUUAAGCUUUUGUGUGGAUCGACGCACGUUCGUUGUCUUGAGUAAGCAUAUGAUAUCUAUGUUAGAAUGCUAAAUGGUUGUUAUGUUGACAUUUUCUUAAGCAUUAUGCCUCCACUUUGUUGUACCUGUUGGUGUUUGAGCUAUUGUCCAUGGUCAGUAUGUUAUCACAAAGUGAUAAUUCAAGUAUAUGAAGUUUGAAGUUGUUGGUUCACUCUGCCAGUUCUGUUUGAAAACACACAACAUCUUGUGCUUUGUUUCAUCUACUGAUUAAAAGAUCAACCAUGGCUAAGGUUUAAAACAACUGAUUUCUUGCUUUCGAUUUUUUUGAGCUUGUCUUGCUAGCAUAAUUGAACCUGAACAUGAGUAGUUGAUAAAAUUGGAAUGUCUGCGGUUGUGGCUCAAUGUAGGGUUGAAUUGCAUUUGGGUGGCUAGUAUUCAGAUCCAUUUGUCUCUGUUGAUCUAUUUUGGACUUGUGACUUGAUAUGCAUUUAGUUUGAGUGCAGUUAUUGUUCAUGUUUACAAAGAUCAUGUUUUAAAAUUGAAGAAUUGAAAGUUUUGUUGGACUACUCUAGUAGCUGAAUCACAUUCUCAUGUUCUGUUGUUGAAUUCAUACCAUGUGAGAGUGCUGGAAGUUUUUUUAUUGAUUUUGAAAAUGGAUUUUUCAUUCAAAGAGAGGUAGUUCAUUCACAUUUGAGAGGAAGUGAUAAUUCAAGUUCAAAUCUUUUGUUCGGUUUAGCCGAGUUGGUAAUAAAAGCUAUUGGCUUUCAAGUGAAUAUGUUAGUCUUGUUACUAUGCUGAUUAAGGAUCACAUUUGGAUGGCUUCUUCUUUUCUAUUAAAACAUGCCAAUAGUUUAGCUGAAGUCUAAGGACAAUAUGAAUUCUUGCUAACUUCACGCUUGAUUUGUUUCUACAGUGAUCAACAUUCCAUGACUAGAAUUUUGGCAUUCUUUGUAAGAAUUGUGUUUCCCCAUUAACUUAGAAGUUUGUCAUGAAACAAAAUGAAUCAGAAAUAGGAUCUCUCAUUUAGUUUUGUUUCAUUUGUUUAUGCUAUUACUUAACCGCUAGGAAUAUGCUUAGACCGACUACACAUGGGUAAGCAAACUUUUCGGCACGUAAGUAAUUAUCGUGACUAUGGGUACGGUUCUUGUGGCAUAGUCAUGAUACAUAAAUCUAAAUUCAGGUGUACAUUUCAUGUGACCCGACCAUAAUUUUGAAUAAUGACAAAAAUACACACAUUAUAGAUCGUGGGUAUAGUUUCCGUGACGUGAUUCACAAUGUGUACCAAAACGACAAGAGUACGACAAUCGUGCCUUGUUCCAGAAAAUAUUUUCUUAAAUAAUUAAAAGUUGUAGAAGUUAAAAAAGCACGUAGGUUUCAAAUGUGUAAUUAAUCAAAUAAUUAGGCCAAUAUUAAUAGUUGAGCAACCGUGCUAAAACCACGGAACCCGAGAAUGCCUAACACCUUAUCCGGGUUAAUAGAAUUCCUUACACGAAUUUCUGUGUUCGCAGACCAUAAAUAAGAGUCAACUUCCUCGAUUUGGGAUUUUAAACCAGUGACUUGGGACACCAUAAAUUAUCCCAAGUUUUGACUCUAAAUCUGAAUAAAUAAUCUCGUUUCGAUUAUUGUCACUUUAAUUGGAAAAACUCUCCUAUACCCCCUUUCGGGGUAGAAAAAGGAGGUGUAACAGCUCUUUCUCUGCUGCUUCUCAAUUUUCCCUUGCCGGCGGCUCAUAUUUUCCAACCUGUUGUUCUUAGCCUCCAUCCUGCCCAUUAUUGCUUUUUGCUCUUUGACCACGUCAUCCAGGGAUGGUGGGACAUCAGUGCUAGUAGAUGUGUGAUCGAGGCCAACCAUGCACUACUAUUGAGUAGCGAGAGAGGUCGAAGCAGCUUUUACCCGAUGAGGUCGGGAUCGAUUUUCACAGGGAGCUAGAUACUGGAGUUGAGUUUCUAUCUAAAGUGGAGUUGUGUAUUUGUUCCUAAUUGCACUUCUAUACAUUUUUGGUUUUGAUUAUAACUCUAAUUUUAUAAUGCUACAAUGCUAAAUAAGGCUAAGGUUAAACUAUUGCAGGUUGUUCAAAUAGAUAAAAGGCACUAGGGUAGUGACUUUUUCCUAAGUGUCUAAUUGACGGAUUCUUGAGUCUAAGGCUAGAUUGUCACAAUUGGGGAGUAUUAUAUAACCAU